AAAAAAAAAAACAAAUAGCUAACCUUCCCCUGACUUCGGGAUAAGCCCGGGAAACUGGGUCUAAUACCGGAUACGACUGCCGGACGCAUGUCUGGUUGGGGAAAGUUUUUUCGGUUGGGGAUAAGCUCGCGGCCUAUCAGUGUGUUGGUUAGGUAAUGGCUCACCAAGACGUCAACGGGUAGCCGGCCUGAGAGGGCGACCGUUCACAUGUGGACUGAGACUCGGUCCAGACUCCUCAGGGAUGCAGCAGUGGGGAAUAUUGCACAAUGGGGGAAACCCUGAUGCAGCGACGUUUUUUUUUUUU
rnacentral:rRNA from 1 species